UACGAAGGGGGCUAGCGUUGCUCGGAAUUACUGGGCGUAAAGCGCGCGCAGGCGGUUUUUCAAGUCAGUGGUGAAAGCCCGGAGCUCAACUCCGGAACUGCCAUUGAAACUGUAAAACUUGAGGACGAGAGAGGUGAGUGGAAUUCCCAGUGUAGAGGUGAAAUUCGUAGAUAUUGGGAAGAACACCGGUGGCGAAGGCGGCUCACUGGCUCGUAUCUGACGCUCAGGCGCGACAGCGUGGGGAUCAAACAGG
rnacentral:rRNA from 1 species